AGUUAACAAUCCUCCGCUAGGGGGACUAUCCUCGAUUAUGCACAACGACUCUCAAUCGUUGUCAUCGUCUUUCUGACGUUCUAUUACGUGUGUGUGUCUUCUCUUUCUUAUGGUGAACACUUUGUUCGUUCAGCAUCCCACCUAGAUUAUUAUCUUACAAGUGUCUCUGUAUUCUGUGCUAGUGGACUGCGAUCAAAGGUUAUGGGCCCAGAGACGCAAGUCGACUCAUAUCAAGAUGGAAUCAAAUCCCUCGACAAGAGAAGGAGGCAUUAAGACAGAAAGGUUCAACGGAAAGAACUUUGCCAUUUGGAAAUAUAGCAUCCAACUGCGACUCCAAGAGCAUGAUCUCAAAACCAUAGUUAAUGGAUCAAGAGCUAAGCCUGCUGAGGUCAAAGAAGGCACUGUGGUCACGAACAAAGCCCUUAUUGACAAGUGGAUGAAGGACGACAACUUGGCAAAGUACUUUUUGUUCAACACCUGUCACGAAGAGCAACAAAGAUCUCUUUUGACAUGUGACACAGCAAGAGA